rnacentral:rRNA from 1 species
GAUGAACGCUGGCGGCGUGCCUAAUACAUGCAAGUCGAGCGAACUGACGAGGAGCUUGCUCCUCUGACGUUAGCGGCGGACGGGUGAGUAACACGUGGAUAACCUACCUAUAAGACUGGGAUAACUUCGGGAAACCGGAGCUAAUACCGGAUAAUAUAUUGAACCGCAUGGUUCAAUAGUGAAAGACGGUUUUGCUGUCACUUAUAGAUGGAUCCGCGCCGCAUUAGCUAGUUGGUAAGGUAACGGCUUACCAAGGCAACGAUGCGUAGCCGACCUGAGAGGGUGAUCGGCCACACUGGAACUGAGACACGGUCCAGACUCCUACGGGAGGCAGCAGUAGGGAAUCUUCCGCAAUGGGCGAAAGCCUGACGGAGCAACGCCGCGUGAGUGAUGAAGGUCUUCGGAUCGUAAAACUCUGUUAUUAGGGAAGAACAAAUGUGUAAGUAACUAUGCACGUCUUGACGGUACCUAAUCAGAAAGCCACGGCUAACUACGUG